AAUGGGCGCAAGCCUGAUGCAGCGACGCCGCGUGGGGGAUGACGGCCUUCGGGUUGUAAACUCCUUUCGUCAGGGAAGAAGCCUUUUGGGGUGACGGUACCUGGAGAAGAAGCACCGGCUAACUACGUGCCAGCAGCCGCGGUAAUACGUAGGGUGCGAGCGUUGUCCGGAAUUAUUGGGCGUAAAGAGCUUGUAGGCGGUUUGUCGCGUCUGCGGUGAAAACCCGGGGCUUAACCUUGGGCGUGCCGUGGGUACGGGCAGGCUAGAGUGUGGUAGGGGAGACUGGAAUUCCUGGUGUAGCGGUGAAAUGCGCAGAUAUCAGGAGGAACACCGAUGGCGAAGGCAGGUCUCUGGGCCAUUACUGACGCUGAGAAGCGAAAGCAUGGGGAGCGAA
rnacentral:rRNA from 1 species